rnacentral:rRNA from 1 species
GAAAUCGGGAAUUUUUAUUGAUAAUGCUCUAAUCUUUAAGAUUUGGUGAAUGAAUCAGAUUAGUACCUGAUUAAACAAAAAUUAAAAGAGCAGGAGUAAAGUUGUAUUUAAACUGUAAGAAUAUUGGCAGGUUUUUAAAUUAUCUUUGGAGGUUGAGUAGUAAUUGAGAGCCCUCAUUAACAACUUUUACUGUAGGCGCAUGUAUGAUCGUUUAUUUUAUUCUUAAGGAUUGUAAUUUUAGAUUAAUUUAUUUUCUGUAAAAAUAGAUAAAUACUUGGUGUAUGUAAAAGAUUUAAUUUGACCUACAAUAUGCUAUCUUGUGGAUACUUUUUUAGUAGAAGGUUGAAAAUGUAAAAGACAGUAAGUUUUUUUUUAUAUAAAGCUGAAGUUUAUUUAAAAAC